rnacentral:misc_RNA from 1 species
CACGAAGAGACCGCCUCCGGUCCCUUUACCCCUGCCCAUCGUACCCUUGUGUUGUUCCCUCGGCGAGGCGUUCGCGCCCGCCGGCGGGAAGAUCAACGAAACCCUUUUUUGCUAACCAGCAUCCAAAACAAACUCUGAUCAAACAUGAAUUGUCA